CAGCCGCCGCGGUAAUACGUAGGGUGCAAGCGUUAAUCGGAUUUAUUGGGCGUAAAGCGAGCGCAGGCGGUUAGAUAAGUCUGAAGUUAAAGGCUGUGGCUUAACCAUAGUACGCUUUGGAAACUGUUUAACUUGAGUGCAAGAGGGGAGAGUGGAAUUCCAUGUGUAGCGGUGAAAUGCGUAGAUAUAUGGAGGAACACCGGUGGCGAAAGCACUCUGCUGGGCCGGCACUGACACUGAGAGACGAAGGCUAGGGGAGCAAAUGGGAUUAGAUACCCCCGUAGUCCCUGUCUCUUAUACA
rnacentral:rRNA from 1 species